UCCAAUCCCAAUACAAGAACUAAACUCUAUCCUUUGCAUUCAUGAAUCUUUGAAGUCCUUUUUCUAAUCAUUCUUUUCUUUUCUCUUAACUCUAGGAGAAGCUUUCUCAACACUUUGAUACAUCUAGCGGAUUUGGAUUUCUUUAACAACUAAGGUUCCUGUUUUUAACAUUUUAAAACCAAGGGCUUUUGCCCAUCUUCAAUAGCUAACAAGAACUCUUUCUUUUCUUUACAAAUCCCAAAACCUUUACUAGACUUUUUCUGCUUCUUUAGCUUACUUCACCUAGAGUCUUUUACCUUUUCUUAUCAAUGAAUCAACCUUUUUUUUUCUUUUAAACACAUCCCAACCCAAAGUAUAAGCGCCCACCUAGUCCUAUCUAGUCCAAAAAAUGCGAACUAGAACUACAUAAGACACUAUCUCUGUCGUUACGAACCUAACACUUUCUACCAAGUGAUAUAGGGCUUGAAAGAAAGUCUAGGUUUGGGUUUGGGUUAACUGCUCUAAUAAGGAGAGUCAGGUACUUGGAUUAACAAGAGUGAUCAAAAUGAAUAAGAAAAUCCAAGUAUUUUAGGGUAUCGAUGAGUUCAAAUUUGAUGCAGACAUGAUAAUUAAAGAUAAGAUUCAGGUUCAAAUUGAUAGGGAAUGGUAUCAGAUCAUGACAGUGUGGUCGAAUAGAGCAAUCUAGGCAUGGUUCAGUUUUAUUUCAAUUUCAUUGACUAUGCAACAGACAGCUAGCAACGAGGGCAUUGAGUUUAUCCGGUGAAUCAAAAUGCUUACAAGGCUAUCUCAUCAUCAUCCCCUAUGCAUAUGCAACAAUCCUAAAUGAAACACUCUAGACUCGAUCCUAAAUGUAAUGCAACUACAUGAACACUCUUUUUUUUUUGUGAAAUCAUUUUCUGA
rnacentral:sRNA from 1 species